GGGAACACCAUGGAGGCAACAGAAGCCUGAUGAAUAUGAGCAUCUCCGAAGAGACCAUAGAAGUAAAUGAAGAUGAGGUCAAUGACCUAAUGAAUAGUGUAACGGGUGGAUCUCUCCAUCCACAGCUGC